rnacentral:lncRNA from 1 species
CGGCGGGACACAUGCACUUGUAGCUCCCCAGGGUGUUGUGACAGGAGGCUCCUCCGCAGAUGUGAGCGCUGAGGCAUUCGUUUUCAUCUGCAGGCAAAAUAAGAAGCGGCAUGUGUGGCAGCAGCCAGAGAUUUCUAUUGAGGACAUUGGAUCUGGCCACUUGCUGCCGGCCAGCUGGCCCUCAGCUAGGCUCUCAGGAAGCUGAAGAAAGUGAGGCUCAGAAAGCUCUUCCAAGAUCUCACAGCCAGCAGCAGCAGGGCAGAAAUUCACAGCCAGGACGAAGUGUGCAAUAGAGAGCAACAGAAACCACUGGCACCAAGCUCCAUGUCAAACAAAGAAUGAAGAACGAAGCAUAUUUACUUCAUUGGAGAGAACACCCCUGGGCUGAUGUCUUCUUGCUCCUCCACGUCCAUCCUCCAUCCUCUCCACUUGCUCUUGGCCCCAGGUGGCUGAUCUAUGGAGCAUGAGCAAGCUCUGCUCCCCUGUCCCUCACUUUUGGUUGGCCUCAGCCAUCUGCUUCUUGCUGGGACCCUGACUAAUAAAACCUGCAAGGCGUGGGUAUAUGAGGGGGAAGACUUGUCAUUCUAUAGCUUAGAUUUAUUCUGUGUUUUUUCCUCCAAAGAGCAGAAGUAGGACCAAUGGUGAGAAAUUAGAGGGAGGAGAAAUGAUUUUUUUUAUAGCAAAAAAAGACAUUUCUAAGUAUUAAAAGCUGUCUAUACAUAGAUUGGGCUAUCUUGGGAGAAAGUGGGCACCCUUCAAGGUGGUAUUUAAGCCAAACUGGGAUAAGCAAGGAAGUUAGAGAAGGAUUUAUAUAUUAGGAAAGAGAGAAGGCUAGAUCUCUAAGGUUCUUUUUAACUUUGAGCAUCUAUCUGUGUUACUACAACUAUCAAGAGUUCUCCCCCUCUCCUUUCACAUUCUUUUAAAUUUUAUUUUACAUUUUCUCCCUUCCCUGAGAAUUUAAUAAAGUUUAAAUUAAACUUGCUUAUCUAGGUUGGAGAGGUAGGAUGGAGUAGAGCACAGAUUAAAAUAAGAAAUUGGCAAAUAUUCAGUGUUUACAGUUUGAAAACAGCAUGUUUGUGCACUCGCCCUUUUUAUCAAUAUACAAACACCACGAUUUGGUUAACAUGUUUUGCACUUUUCCUGACCUUUUUCAUCCUCUGCACUCUGGAGCAAAUGACUCCACAAGGAAUUUUUUUACACUCCAAAAUAUUUGUUUUAUUCUUC